rnacentral:tRNA from 1 species
GCUCGAGUGGCGGAAUUGGUAGACGCGCUGGAUUCAAAAUCCAGUGUUUUCGGACGUGCGGGUUCGAUUCCCGCCUCGAGUACGA